AUACGGAGGAUGCGAGCGUUAUCCGGAUUUAUUGGGUUUAAAGGGAGCGUAGGUGGGAUAUUAAGUCAGCUGUGAAAGUUUGGGGCUCAACCUUAAAAUUGCAGUUGAUACUGGUUUCCUUGAGUACGGUACAGGUGGGCGGAAUUCGUGGUGUAGCGGUGAAAUGCUUAGAUAUCACGAAGAACUCCGAUCGCGAAGGCAGCUCACCGGGCCGGAACUGACACUGAUGCUCGAAAGUGCGGGUAUCAAACAGGAUUAGAUACCCUGGUAGUCCGCACAGUAAACGAUGAAUACUCGCUGUUUGCGAUACACUGUAAGCGGCCAAGCGAAAGCGUUAAGUAUUCCACCUGGGGAGUACGCCGGCAACGGUGAAACUCAAAGGAAUUGACGG
rnacentral:rRNA from 1 species